rnacentral:miRNA from 1 species
GACUCAGCCGCGGCUCCGGGACCCGGGCGCCGGGAGGUGGUGGCGGCGGCGGCGGCGGCGGUAGCGGCGACGGCGGCAUUGGCG